CCCUCUCGGCCGCAUCCCCUCUCACUCCACGCUCUCUCUCUCUCUCGUCCUCCCACUGACAACGCCAGAAAACCCCCAUCUCCGGCCACCACCUCGCAAAACUACCACCACCCAUCAAUGCUGCACCAAGCUGCGACCCAAACCCACGGCAAAUAGAAACCAUGCAUUGACCUCGACCUCUCUCUUCCACUCUCCUUCUCUCUACCACCACUGGAGACUUCAGCUCCGGCCACCAUCUCCUCAUACCGCCUCCACCAGUCGACGCACCACCCAAACCCGAGGCUUACCGUCCACAUGAAUCGCCUCCAGCCUCCGCACCGGUUCCUCAAAUCAGCGAUGCCACUGCUCGUUGGCUUUCCUUGAUUUCCGACCAUCAGCUCGCCACACCGCCAUCACUUCUCGACUCAGAACUCGCCGGACGUCCAAACCUUGAAUCCUUGUUGACUGCCGAUGCCGGAGAGCACUGUACACGUCUUAUGCCGGAGUCUUAGCUUCUGCUAAGAUGGAUUUGACUCUUCCGAUCGAAAUUGAGCUACGUCGCCUCCAAGGAUGGAAUCAGGGCUUCACGAUCUAUCAAAGCCCUUGACCCCCAACCUCUAGUUCCGACUAGAGCCACCGCGCGUGCUUCACGAGCCGUCGCAGGAGAGUGGGCCACCGUAGCUCCGCCACUCACGGUCGGGGG
rnacentral:lncRNA from 1 species